UUGGUUCGAGAGCAACUUGAUGACUGCAUCGAAUCGGGUGACACAAUACAAAUAUGGCGGCCAACUAUUUCAUGAUGCACGCGCGUUUCGAUUGCUGUUUUCACUAUGAUAACGGCCGUAGAUAACUAUGAUAUUGCAGGAAAAAUAAUAUUCUAUUAUCAUUCAAAGUAUAGAGUUUUUGAAGACGACCAUUUGCUUUGUUUGUAAUGGUUUUGAAAGUGAUUCAAUUGUCGUAAGAGUGAACGGCAGAAAACAAAUUAUAUCAGGCAAAACAUGUGUCUGGUUAUGUGAACAGACAGGAUUCAGAAAGUGAAGUGGGAGUAGUACUGCAAUGAUCUUGACAAUGCUAUUAAAAGUGGUAUCCUUGAAGAAGGCGAAUGUGCUGGUAGAGCAGCUAUCGAAAUCGCUCAAACUGUCUUCAAGCAGCCAAACAGCAGGAGGACGCCUCAUGUUAAAGAAGCUGUUAUCAAAGUUGUUAAGAAUGGCGCUUUCCUCGAUGAAAAAAUAAGAACGCAAAUUCAACCUUGUAUUUUGGUAGUGGAUGACCUUUAUCAAAGUGACAUUAUAUAUGUGGUGGCAGAAGGAAUAGUUUUGUGCCAUGUAACAACCAAAAAGAUUGGCGAUGCUUUGGUUGCUUUGUUGGCCACGUACUAUAUAUACAAUAUACAAUACAUUGAUGGCAAGAAUGUGUAUAGCUUUCUUGACAUGGCAUUAUUGGGAAUUAUCCCAGAGAAGUGUCCAUCUUCUGUGAAAAGUUUAGUUGGAGGGUUAUCAAAUGUGUUCAACUAAUCAUGAAUGCAUAUGCAUGGUAUAUAGAUUAUGUUUUAUUUCAAUUCUUUUUUGUGAAGUUUAAUUUGAGUGAGAUAAAAAUAUGUCCAUGUGAAGUAUUUUAACGAAGGUGUUAAGCACUUAUGUGCUUACGUAUAUUAUAUGAGUCUUGUUUA